rnacentral:rRNA from 1 species
CCUACGGGUGGCAGCAGUGAGGAAUAUUGGUCAAUGGCCGAGAGGCUGAACCAGCCAAGUCGCGUGAGGGAAGAAUGUCCUAUGGAUUGUAAACCUCUUUUGUCAGGGAGCAAAGUCACCCACGUGUGGGUGUUGGAGAGUACCUGAAGAAAAAGCAUCGGCUAACUCCGUGCCAGCAGCCGCGGUAAUACGUAGGUGGCAAGCGUUGUCCGGAAUUACUGGGUGGAAAGGGAGCGCAGGCGGGAAGCCAAGUCAGCUGUGAAAACUACGGGCUUAACUUGUAGACUGCAGUUGAAACUGGUAUUCUUGAGUGAAGGAGAGGUAGGCGGAAUGCCGGGUGUAGCGGUGAAAUGCGUAGAUAUUCGGAGGAACACCGGUGGCGAAGGCGGCCAACUGGGUUUUAACUGACGCUGAGGCUCGAAAGCGUGGGUAGCAAACAGGAUUAGAUACCCGAGUAGUC